rnacentral:rRNA from 1 species
UACGUAGGUGGCAAGCGUUAUCCGGAAUUAUUGGGCGUAAAGCGCGCGUAGGCGGUUUUUUAAGUCUGAUGUGAAAGCCCACGGCUCAACCGUGGAGGGUCAUUGGAAACUGGAAAACUUGAGUGCAGAAGAGGAAAGUGGAAUUCCAUGUGUAGCGGUGAAAUGCGCAGAGAUAUGGAGGAACACCAGUGGCGAAGGCGACUUUCUGGUCUGUAACUGACGCUGAUGUGCGAAGGCGUGGGGAUCAAACAGG